rnacentral:rRNA from 1 species
CCCUUAGAUGGUCUGGGCGGCACGCGCGCUACAAUGAUGCAUUCAAAAAGUCUUCUGACCUUAGAAGGUUGGGUAUUCUCCAAAGUGCGUCGUGAUGGGAAUAGUUUAUUGCAAUUUUUAAUCUUGAACGAGGAAUUCCUAGUAAGUACAGGUCAUCAACUUGUGUUGAUUACGUCCCUGCCCUUUGUACACACCGCCCGUCGCUCCUACCGAUUGAAUGUGUUGGUGAGGAGCUCGGAUUGGCAGCAGUUGGUGGUUCGCCACCGGCUAUUGCUGAGAAGUCCUCCAAACCGCCCCAUUUAGAGGAAGGAGAAGUCGUAACA